UACGAAGGGGGCUAGCGUUGUUCGGAAUACUGGGCGUAAAGCGUGCGCAGGCGGUUUCCAAGUCAGUGGUGAAAGCCCGGAGCUCAACCCCGGAACUGCCAUUGAAACUGUGAGACUCGAGUACGAGAGAGGUGAGUGGAAUUCCCAGUGUAGAGAUGAAAUUCGUAGAUAGUUGGGAAGAACACCGGUGGCGAAGGCGGCUCACUGGCUCGUAACUGACGCUCAUGCACGACAGCGUGGGGAUCAAACAGG
rnacentral:rRNA from 1 species